CCCUUAGAUGUUCUGGGCCGCACGCGCGCUACACUGUUCGACGCAGCGAGUCUUAACCUUGACCGAAAGGUUUGGGUACUCUUCAGCAAAGUCGAACGUGAUGGGGAUCGAUCAUUGCAAUUAUUGAUCGUGAACGAGGAAUUCCUAGUAAGUGCAAGUCAUCAGCUUGCGCUGAUUACGUCCCUGCCCUUUGUACACACCGCCCGUCGCUACUACCGAUUGAAUGGUUUAGUGAGAUCUCUGGAUUGACGCUGGCUAGGGGGCGACCCUUGGCCAGACUGUUGAGAAACUGCUCAAACUUGAUCAUUUAGAGGAAGUAAAAGUCGUAACA
rnacentral:rRNA from 1 species